rnacentral:rRNA from 1 species
CCGCUAUUGGAGUUCGAUUAAGCCAUGCGAGUCGAGAGUCUUAGGGACUCGGCGUACCGCUCAGUAACACGUGGGUAACCUGCCCUAUGCUGGGGAAUAACCUCGGGAAACUGAGAAUAAUGCCCCAUAGUCCACAAUGCCUGGAACGGUUUGUGGACCAAAGCUCCGGCGGCAUAGGAUGGGCCUGCGGCGUAUCAGGUUGUAGGGGGUGUAACGUACCCUCUAGCCAUCAACGCGUACGGGUGUUGGGAGACAUAGCCCGGAGAUGGAUUCUGAGACACGAAUCCAGACCCUACGGGGUGCAGCAGGCGCGAAAACUUGGCAAUGCGAGAAAUCGUGACCAGGGAACUCCAAGUGGCUGGGGUAAGACCCAGUCUUUUCUUGACUCUUCAAAGGUCUUGGAAUAAGGGGUGGGUAAGGACGGUGCCAGCCGCCGCGGUAAUACCGGCGCCUCAAGUGGUAGUCGAUUUUAUUGGGCCUAAAACGUCCGUAGCCUGUUUGGUACAUUCGUGGGUAAAUCAGCCAGCUCAACUGGUUGAAUUCUGCGAGCACGGCCAGACCUGGGACUGGGAGAGGUGUGGGGUACGCUCAGGGUAGGAGUAAAAUCCUGUCAUCCUGAGCGGACCACCUGUUGCGAAGGCGCCACACUAGAACGGAUCCGACGGUCAGGGACGAAGCCUAGGGGCACGAACCGGAUUAGAUACCCGGGUAGUCCUAGGUGUAAACGCUGUGGACUUGGUGUUGGGGACUCUCCGAGAAUCCUCAGUGCCGAAGCGAAGGUGAUAAGUCCACUGCCUGGGGAGUACGGUCGCAAGGCUGAAACUUAAAGGAAUUGGCGGGGGAGCACCGCAACCUGAGGAUUGUGCGG